AUUGAACGCUGGCGGCAGGCCUAACACAUGCAAGUCGAGCGGAUGAAGGGAGCUUGCUCCUGGAUUCAGCGGCGGACGGGUGAGUAAUGCCUAGGAAUCUGCCUGGUAGUGGGGGAUAACGUCCGGAAACGGGCGCUAAUACCGCAUACGUCCUGAGGGUGAAAGUGGGGGAUCUUCGGACCUCACGCUAUCAGAUGAGCCUAGGUCGUAUUAGCUAGUUGGUGGGGUAAAGGCCUACCAAGGCGACGAUCCGUAACUGGUCUGAGAGGAUGAUCAGUCACACUGGAACUGAGACACGGUCCAGACUCCUACGGGAGGCAGCAGUGGGGAAUAUUGGACAAUGGGCGAAAGCCUGAUCCAGCCAUGCCGCGUGUGUGAAGAAGGUCUUCGGAUUGUAAAGCACUUUAAGUUGGGAGGAAGGGCAGUAAGUUAAUACCUUGCUGUUUUGACGUUACCAACAGAAUAAGCACCGGCUAACUUCGUG
rnacentral:rRNA from 1 species